GUGCACUCUUAGGCAGCACAUAUACUAAAAUUAGAACAAUACAAAGAUUAGCAUGGCUGUCUGCACAAGGGUGACCUGUAUCACGAAGCAUUCCUUAUUUUU